rnacentral:ncRNA from 1 species
GUAAAUACAUUGAUGGGAAGAGUAAUAAACGGAUAUGUGUAAAGAGAGCCGAGGCAUAGGUGAAAGUCGGUAACAUUGAAAUUUAUGAACAUGGCCCCUGAGUAGGAUAUCUGAAAUUAGAUUUAGGAUAUCACGUAAAGGCACACGUUAUAGUGCAAAGUGAUGAAAUUGUUUUAAGGAGUCACUUAAUGAGUUCUUUGUUGCAAGACAAAGAUAAACUAGAGUGGUAACGCGGUAAUUCGCCUCUAAA